AACCUUUACAAUGUACGAAAGUGCGAUAAGGGGAUCCCAAGUGCGCAUGUUUUACAUGUGCUUUUGCCAAGAGUAAAUACCUUGGCGAAUAAGUGGUGGGAAAGACUGGUGCCAGCCGCCGCGGUAAUCCCAGCGCCACAAGUGGCAAUCACAAUUAUUGGGCCUAAAGCGUCCGUAGCAUGUUUUGUAAAUCUCCUGUGAAAUCGUUGUGCUCAACGCAACGGCGUGCAGGAGACACUGCAUGACUAGGAACCGGGAGGCGUCGAGGGUAUUCCGGGGGGAGCGGUAAAAUGUUAUAAUCCCCGGAGGACCACCUGUGGCGAAGGCGCUCGACGAGAACGGAUUCGACUGUGAGGGACGAAAGCCAGGGGAUCAAUCCGG
rnacentral:rRNA from 1 species